UCGACCUGAGAUCAGACGAGAUUACCCGCUGAACUUAAGCAUAU
rnacentral:rRNA from 1 species